rnacentral:lncRNA from 1 species
GAUUGGUUUGUUACAACGGUGACGCGGUAUCACUAUUGUAAUGAAAAUUUACUCCAUCGAUUUCGAGGUAUAUCACAAUCAGUUUGUAAUUUUUGGAAACUAAUAAAAAAUUUAGAUUUUUUUAGCUAUAAGGGUGAAUCACUAAAAGUUUAAAGUGUGUAUCACUAAUUUGAAUCAAAAAAUUAUUGUCGGGCUGUCCG